CAAAUCUUUCAAUAUAAGAAGUCAAUCAUCAUAUAUUUCAUUACUGUACAUAUGUAAAUUAUAUCGCCCCAUAUUCUUCCAGCACCUCCCCUCUCUGCCUGUGCCAUUGUCUUGUCACAGAUCAAGUGAAAGGAUUAAACAAAAAUAUAUUCUUAUCAUCAAGUUUAUUUCCAAUAAGGCAAAAACACAACUUGCACAUGUUUUCAUAUAAUAAUUACAAGCUUCUGUUUCCAGGUUAAUAAAGGCAGCCUCAGAGCUUUCUGCAAAUUAGACACCUGAUUGGGCAGUGAUGGAGAGAAGAAAGCUGCUGCAAGAUUGCUGGAAGUACAUGUGGAGGAGGGGAAUGAUGGGAGGCGACUGAUUGGUGGGGUCAAGUCAGGAAAUUAACGAACAUCCUGGCUGGACACUUCCUGCAAAUCCUUGUCCCAGCCCAGCCAACAAGGCACAAACUUCAUCCUCCCUUGCAAGCACCUGAAGACGAUGGACCAGAAGUCAAGAUGUUGAGGCCUUCAAGAGAGAUGCUACAGCAGAAACAGGGCAUCUUCAACAGUAGUAGUCCACACUGCAACCAUCAAGCAUGUAGGGGAUAAUAACAACUCCCCCUUGCCCCCCUUUCUCUCUCUCUCUCUCUCUCUCUCUCUCUCUCUCCACAGACCCCCACAGAAUGUCCCCCCACAGUAUGUUUAAGAACCACAGUCACUCAACACACCCCCUCACAUUCUCUCUCUCUCUCUCUCUCUCUCUCUCUGCGCACAGACCCCCAUGGGAUGUCCCCCCACACUAUGUUUACGAACCACAGUCACUCAGCUCCCCCUCACGUUGAUAAUUUUCCUUCACAGCAUUCAAUCACAGCCAAUAUUGACGACAACCACCCCCUUCCUUUCCAGAUCUUGCAGCAGAUGCGUUAUGUUGUUCCUUUCCUUUAUCGCUGCCACCCCCCAAAUUGGGCAUCCAACUUGCAGGAAGCUCUGAGGCUGCCUUUGACAACCUGAAAACAGAACCUUGCAAUUAAUACAUGAAAAUAUGUGAACAAAAUAUGUGAACUGGAGUCUGUGCAAAUUUUGUUUUUACCUUACUAGAAAUAAACUGUAUGAUAAGA